rnacentral:rRNA from 1 species
GACGAACGCUGGCGGCGUGCUUAACACAUGCAAGUCGAACGGUGAAGGGGAGCUUGCUCCCCGGAUCAGUGGCGAACGGGUGAGUAACACGUGGGCAACCUGCCCCAGACUUCGGGAUAACGCUUCGAAAGAGGUGCUAAUACCGGAUACGAACUCCUUGGGCAUGCUGGGAGUUGGAAAGCUCUUCGGUCUGGGAUGGGCCCGCGGCCUAUCAGCUAGUUGGGGGAGUAACGGCUCACCAAGGCGACGACGGGUAGCCGGCCUGAGAGGGCGACCGGCCACAAUGGGACUGAGACGCGGUCCAGACGCCUACGGGAGGCAGCAGUGGGGAGUAUUGCGCAUUGGGCGAAAGCCUGACGCAGCAACGCCGCGUGAGGGAUGACGGCCUUCGGGUUGUAAACCUCUUUCAGCAGGGAAGAAGCGAAAGUGACGGUACCUGCAGAAGAAGCACCGGCUAACUACGUGCCAGCAGCCGCGGUAACAC